CAAUAGCGUAUAUUAAAGUUGUUGCGGUUAAAAAGCUCGUAGUUGGAUUUCUGCUGAGAACGACCGGUCCGCCCUCUGGGUGUGUAUCUGGCUCUUUCUUGGCAUCUUCUUGGUGAACGUUGCUGCACUUGACUGUGUGGAGCGCUACCCAGGACUUUUACUUUGAGGAAAUUAGAGUGUUUCAAGCAGGCAUACGCCUUGAAUACAUUAGCAUGGAAUAAUAAGAUAGGACCUCGGUUCUAUUUUGUUGGUUUCUAGAGCUGAGGUAAUGAUUAAUAGGGAUAGUUGGGGGCAUUCGUAUUUAACUGUCAGGGGUGAAAUUCUUGGAUUUGUUAAAGACGGACUACUGCGAAAGCAUUUGCCAAGGAUGUUUNCAUUGG
rnacentral:rRNA from 1 species